CACAGACAUACAUGCAGACCAAAACAC
rnacentral:piRNA from 1 species